rnacentral:rRNA from 1 species
GACGAAGGUGGCGAGCGUUGUUCGGAAUCACUGGGCCUAAAGCGCACGUAGGCGGUGCCGUAAGUCGGAUGUGAAAUCCCUCGGCCUAACCGAGGAACUGCGUCCGAUACUGCGGUGCUUGAGGAUCAGAGGGGUGCAUGGAAUUUCCGGUGGAGCGGUGAAAUGCGUUGAUAUCGAUAGGAACUCCGGUGGCGAAGGCGGCAUACUGGACCACCACUGACGCUGAUGCGCGAAAGCCAGGGGAGCGAACGGG